rnacentral:rRNA from 1 species
UACGUAGGGUGCGAGCGUUGUCCGGAAUCAUUGGGCGUAAAGAGCGUGUAGGCGGCUUGGUAGGUCACGUGUUAAAGCCUGCGGCUCAACCGCAGAAUCGCACGUGAAAACCACCUGGCUUGAGUUCGGGAGAGGGAUGCGGGAUUCCAGGUGUAGCGGUGAAAUGCGUAGAUAUCUGGAGGAACACCGGUGGCGAAGGCGGCAUCCUGGACCGAUACUGACGCUGAGGAGCGAAAGCCAGGGGAGCAAACGGG